UUCUGUGAGGAAAGGCUGGCGCAGGCCCGCCGCGCCCUCGGCCUCGGGGAAGGAGGUGAACACAGAAGGGGGUGCCGGGCCCACGGCUGAGACACCUGAGAGGACGCCUGCAGCCCGGGUGACCACAGCAGGGGCUUGGGGAAUUUCAAACAUGAGCUGGCUGAUCGUGAUCUGAAACCUCCAAAAGGGAAAAUGAAAGGCCAGGUGUGCACAGUCACGUUUAUGCCCCUGGCUGCAAUCGCGUCCCCAAGCUGGGCUCUGCAGACACCAGGCAUGAGGGCCACAUCCUCCCCAUCCUGAAACCAACCCAAGGGGCUGUUCCGCUGUUUCUCUCCACUAUGAGGCAAGACUCUGCAAGCAUUCCUAACCACUUGAUCUCAAGAUACGGUGGAAAAGAUCCAGGUGGGGCUGCAUGGCCCCCAACAGGGACUUACAUCCUACAUUUCAUCUGGGACGUCCCACAGCUUCCCAGCUCUGGUUCCAAUGGCCGCUUGAGCCAUCAUUGUCCCUGCUGUGGAACCCCAUGGGGACGACCUUUCAGGGCUCCGAGGAGAUCCCAGGCAUGGCUGGGGAGGAGGAGUGGGCUUCCUGCGAACCCCGCAGAGCUGGCUGGGGCAGCCCUGAUGCUCAACUGAGUCCGGUUCAUGCUGGGCUCCUGACCACCACGUUCACGAUGGUGGCCCUCAUGGAUGUCCAAAAGCUUCUCGGUGGCCAUACCGUGUCCCGUAUCCUACCGUGGGCUGAAAGCUCAGAGAGGUUCACUUUAGGAAGCCAGGAGCGACCCUCAUGAUGUAGCUUUCCCAAAGCGGGGCUUGCCAUGAACAGGCCUGUGAGUCAGAGGCCACCAAGGCCUCUGGACAAGACUUGAAAUUCUCAAAGCGCCACUGCUGCUUCCAGCUGGCCACGCACUAAAGACUCUGCCACCCGCACUCCGAGCUGGGGCCCUGUGCUCUGCCGGCCUGGCCUCCUCUCAGGGUGGGCUCUCAGCCUGCAUGGCCCCUGACCAGUGCCCUGCUGUCCCCUGAAGGACCCUCCACAGGGAAUCCACUGAUGACUCAAGUUGGAACCUAGAAACACCACUGAGUACCUGCCGAAGACGCAGGGCCCUGUUCUGUCUGUGAGGCGGGAAGCUCUGUGGUGGGACUCAGGAACCUGCAUUGGGAUGCCAGAGGGAUGCUGUCACCAAGAUGCAGCCCAGAGCCGUGCACCUGCCACAUGAGAGUCUCACAGCGUCCUUGGGAGCCAGUGCAGACAGUGAAGCGGGGUGGGCUGAACAGAAAGGUGAGCUGCACCCAGAACCUUACAACUCCAUCCUUCCGGUCACAGUGCUAACUGUGGCUGCUCCAGGAGCCUCCAAAAAUGAUCCCAAAUCAUCUCAACUGGUGACAAAAAGCUGCCAACCGGUGGCGUUCUCGGCCAGUCUAUCUACACCACUCAUCUCCUCCAUGCCCUCCAUGCCCAGGCCUUCUCCCACCACAUUACGAAUGCAAAUUACAUGGCUGUAAAGACAGGGGGGCCUCUCUUCUGAAGUGAUCUGGAGUCACCAAGAGGCUGCCUUUCCAAAAUAAACGUUCAGAUUCCAGUC